rnacentral:rRNA from 1 species
CCUACGGGUGGCAGCAGUGAGGAAUAUUGGUCAAUGGACGAGAGGCUGAACCAGCCAAGCAGCGUGAAGGAUGACUGUGCUAAGCGUUGUAAACUUCUUUUAUAAAGGAAUAAAAUGAGGCUCGUGUGCCUUUUUGCAUGUACUUUAUGAAUAAGGAUCGGCUAACUCCGUGCCAGCAGCCGCGGUAAUACGGAGGAUCCGAGCGUUAUCCGGAUUUAUUGGGUUUAAAGGGAGCGUAGGUGGGAUGUUAAGUCAGUUGUGAAAGUGUGUGGCUCAACCGUAGACUUGCAAUUGAUACUGGCUGUCUUGAGUAGACUAGAGGUAUGCGGAAUUCGUGGUGUAGCGGUGAAAUGCUUAGAUAUCGCGAAGAACCCCGAUUGCGAAGGCAGCAUACUGGCGGGGAACUGACGUUGAGGCACGAAAGUGUGGGUAUCGAACAGGAUUAGAUACCCCUGUAGUC